CCUACGGGAGGCAGCAGUGGGGAAUAUUGGGCAAUGGGGGAAAGCCUGACCCAGCAACGCCGCGUGAAGGAAGAAGGCUCUCGGAUUGUAAACUUCUUUUAUCAGGGACGAAGCAAGUGAUGGUACCUGAAGAAUAAGCGACUGCUAACUACGUGGCAGCAGCCGCGGUAAGACGUAGGUAGGAGGCGAUAGCCGGAUUUACUGGGGGUAAAGGGCGUGUAGGCGGGAAAGCAAGUCAGAUGUGAAAACCAUGGGCUCAACAUUUGGCCUGCAUUUGAAACUGUUUUUCUUGAGUGUUGGAGAGGCAGACGGAAUUCUUAGUGUAGCGGUGAAAUGCGUAGAGAUUAGGAGGAAUACUCGUGGCGAAGGCGGUCUGCUGGACCGCAACUGACGCUGAGGCGCGAAAGCGUGGGGAGCAAACAGGAUUAGAUACCCCUGUAGUC
rnacentral:rRNA from 1 species